UACGAAGGGGGCUAGCGUUGCUCGGAAUCACUGGGCGUAAAGGGCUCGUAGGUGGCCAACUAAGUCAGACGUGAAAUCCCUCGGCUUAACCGGGGAACUGCGUCUGAUACUGGAUGGCUUGAGUUCGGGAGAGGGAUGCGGAAUUCCAGGUGUAGCGGUGAAAUGCGUAGAUAUCUGGAGGAACACCGGUGGCGAAGGCGGCAUCCUGGACCGACACUGACGCUGAGGAGCGAAAGCCAGGGGAGCAAACGGG
rnacentral:rRNA from 1 species